AAGUCGUAACAAGGUAUCCGUAGGUGAACCUGCGGAUGGAUCAUUACAAAGUUGUGCACGUAAUUUACGUAACACUUAACUUUGACCACUUGUCAACUGUUGUGUACAUGGUUCAUUCAUACCGAAUCAUAUCACAUAUUUUUUAACUAUCAAACUGACAUGUUGUAACAAUUAACAGCAUAAAACUUUUAGCAACGGAUCUCUAGGCUCUC
rnacentral:misc_RNA from 1 species